rnacentral:rRNA from 2 species
UACAUGUGGGGCAAGCGUUGUUCGGAAUUACUGGGCAUAAAGGGUGCGUAGGCGGCAUGCCAAGUCAGGGGUGAAAGGUUUCGGCCCAACCGGGACAGUGCCUUUGAUACUGGCGUGCUUGAGUGCGUGAGGGGUGACUGGAACGAGUGGUGUAGCGGUGAAAUGCGUAGAUAUCACUCGGAAGGCCAACGGCGAAGGCAGGUCACUGGUACGCAACUGACGCUGAGGCACGAAAGCGUGGGGAGCAAACAGG